rnacentral:lncRNA from 1 species
GAGUGUGACCUUUCUAGACCACACAAUGAAUCAUUUUUUAAUUUGCAAUUUUUUAAAUGUAAAUAACCAUGAUGAGUCUUUUUUAGGACUGAGAGAGCAAGAUCCAUGGCAGCAGUAAACACCAGGAACUUUUAAAAGCAGUUUCCACUUAACAAAACCACAAGAUCAACCAACCCAUAGUUGGAACUUCAUUGCUAAAUUUUUUCACCUGUGUCUGAGGCAAGCCGAAAUCUGACUCAACUGCCUUAGCUACUCCACCAGGUUCUUCAAACCCAAGAGAAAUUUCAAGCAGAAGACUAUGAAUGUUGCAGACCUUCUUUUCCCUUCUUUUGUCACAGCUGAUAGGGGCUGUGUAUUCUCAGUCCAUGAGAAGAGCUAAAGAGAAGCAAAUUUUCACUUCAAUGCUUGAGAAUACAUUUUACACAUUAUUUAUAACAUUGGUGGGAUUUAAACUAUUUUGAAUUUCUGUAUUUAUUUACUUUUUUUUCUCAUAAUGUUAGAUCCUUAUCAAAAGUUUUCUUGUUAAGUGAACUUUGGUAUAGAAUUAAUGUUUUCUAUCCAGACUUCCCUAGAAAAUAUAGCAGUUGUGUCACUAUGGAUUAAUGUUAUAUAACCAUGAUAUACCUACUCAUUUGUUGAUGACCAAUUUUAAAAAGAUUCUAUAAUGUGGAAUCCAUUAUGGAGAAUGGGUAUAAGAAUAUGUUUCUUACCUUUUUCACAAAUGAAUUGAGAACAUCCAUUUUGGUUGAAUGCAAUUAAUUAUUUUUACUAACAGUUAAAAUAUAUGGCAUAAAAAUAUAAUACUUAAAUAAAAGCAGGUGUAUAUUUCCA